UACAGAGGUCCCAAGCGUUGUUCGGAUUCACUGGGCGUAAGGGUGCGUAGGCGGUUGGGUAAGUCUGAUGUGAAAUCUCACAGCUUAACUGUGAAACUGCAUUGGAUACUAUUCGGCUUGAGAGUUGGAGGGGGACUGGAAUUCUUGGUGUAGCAGUGGAAAUGCGUAGAUAUCAAGAGGAACACCAGUGGCGAAGGCGAGUCCCUGGACAACUUCUGACGCUGAGGCACGAAAGCUAGGGGAGCAAAAGGG
rnacentral:rRNA from 1 species